UACAGAGGGGGCAAGCGUUGUUCGGAAUUACUGGGCGUAAAGGGCGCGCAGGCGGCUAUCCAAGUCAGGCGUGAAAGCCCCGGGCUUAACCUGGGAGGUGCGUCUGGGACUGGGUGGCUAGAGUUCGGGAGAGGAGAGUGGAAUUCCCAGUGUAGAGGUGAAAUUCGUAGAUAUUGGGAAGAACACCGGUGGCGAAGGCGGCUCUCUGGACCGAGACUGACGCUGAGGCGCGAAAGCGUGGGGAGCAAACAGG
rnacentral:rRNA from 1 species